AUAAAAAAUAUUUUUUAAAAAUUUUUUUUUUAAAUAAAUUUUAAAUUAAAUAAUUAAAAAUUUAUUGUUAAAAUAUAAUUAAUUUUAUAAAAAUAUAUAAAUUAAUUUAUAAAUUAAUUAAAUUUUAAGAAAAAUUAUUUUUUUUUACCUUUUGUAUCAGGAUUAAUUAAAAAAUUAUUUAAAUUUUAAAAUUCUCGAAUUUAAAAAAUUUAAAUUUUUAAUUUUAUUAAUAUAAAAUUAUUAAAAAAAAUAAAAAUUUAGAAACUAUAAAUUAAACAAUUUUAAAUAUAUCUAGUUAUUUAGAAAAUAAAUUUAAUUUAAUUUUAAUUUUAAAUAUAUUUAAUAUAUUAUAUAAAUAAUUAUAAAAAUUAAAAAAAUAAUUUAAGGGAUAAACUUUAAAUUAAACUUAUAAUUAUUAAUUUAAUUAAUUUAUAAUUUAAAAUUAAAAUUAUUUUUAAUUAAAAAAUAUUUAAUAAUUUUAUAAAAUUUUUUAAAAAUUUAAUAUAAUUUAAAUAACUUACUAAAUUAAAAAAUUUAAUAAAAAUAUUUUUAUAAUUAUGAUUAAAUUAGUAAUAAAAAUUUAAUUAAAAUAUUAUUUUAAAUUUAUAAUUAAUAUUAAAUAACUAAGCAAAAUUUAUAUUCACCUGUUUAUCAAAAACAUGUCUUAUAGAUUAUAAUUUUAAGUCAAAUCUGCUCAAUGAAUAAUUUAAAUAGCUGCAGUAUUUUUAACUGUACAAAGGUAGCAUAAUAAUUAGUUUUUUAAUUAAAAACUAGAAUGAAUGAUUUAAUGAAAUAUAAACUGUUUCAAUUUUAUAAAAUAAAAUUAUUAUUUAAAUAAAAAAAUUUAAAUAUAUAUUAUAGACGAGAAGACCCUAAAGAAUUUUUAAUAAUUUAAUUUUAAAUUUAAUAUAUUAAAAUUAAAUUAUUUUAAUUGGGGAAAUUUUAAAAUUUAAAUAAUUUUUAAUUAAAAUAACAAUUAUUUUUGAAUAUUUAAUUUUAAUUUUAAAAAAAAAUAAAUUACCUUAGGGAUAACAGCAUAAUUUUUUUAAAAAGUUCUAAUUUAUAAAAAAGUUUAUGACCUCGAUGUUGAAUUAAAAUUAAUUUAAUAGAAAAAUAUUAAAAAUUUAAGUCUGUUCGACUUUUAAAAUUUUACAUGAUUUGAGUUAAGAUCGGUGUAAACCAGAUCGGAUUCUAUCUUAAUAUAAAAUAAAUAUUUUUGUACGAAAGGAAUUCAUAUUUAAAAUAAUUUUUUAUUUAAAAAUUAAUUUAAUUUAAUA
rnacentral:rRNA from 1 species